rnacentral:tRNA from 1 species
GGGGUCGUGAGGUAAUGGUAACCUAGUCGGCUCCAGACCGGCAUCUCUGGGUUCGACUCCCAGCGACCCCA